GGAGAGGUGCCCGAGUGGCCGAAGGGGGUUGACUGCUAAUCAAUUGUAUCGUUUAGGUACCGGGGGUUCGAAUCCCCCCUUCUCCG
rnacentral:tRNA from 1 species